UCCCCUGUGGCUCAAUUGGUAAAGAAUCUGCCUGCAAUGCAGGAGACCUGGGUUUGAUCCCUGGGUGGGGAA
rnacentral:tRNA from 1 species